CCUACGGGCGGCUGCAGUGAGGAAUAUUGGUCAAUGGUCGGGAGACUGAACCAGCCAAGCCGCGUGAGGGAGGAAGGUACAGAGUAUCGUAAACCUCUUUUGUCAGGGAACAAAGGCGGGGACGUGUCCCCGGCUGAGUGUACCUGAAGAAAAAGCAUCGGCUAACUCCGUGCCAGCAGCCGCGGUAAUACGGAGGAUGCGAGCGUUAUCCGGAUUUAUUGGGUUUAAGGGGUGCGCAGGCGGUCUGUUAAGUCAGCGGUCAAAGCCCGGGGCUCAACCCCGGCCCGCCGUUGAAACUGGCAGUCUCGAGUGGGAGAGAAGUAUGCGGAAUGCGCGGUGUAGCGGUGAAAUGCAUAGAUAUCGCGCAGAACUCCGAUUGCGAAGGCAGCAUGCCGGCUCCACACUGACGCUGAGGCACGAAAGCGUGGGUAUCGAACAGGAUUAGAUACCCUUGUAGUC
rnacentral:rRNA from 1 species